GACCCCGAAGGUGUUUCGCACUUCGACAGCG
rnacentral:rRNA from 1 species